UUUUUCCUCCACGCUGUAACAGUCAUGCCUCGGCUGGCCCCUCCCCAUGGCUGAUAUUAUCAAUCUUGAUUAUCUCAGCCAAGUCUAUGCUUUGCCCUAGGAAAACAUUGGGAGGAUAUUGAACAUGCACGGCAAAAUGCUGCACUGCACCAAUCAGGAUCUCCUCAUAGAGAUGCGUCAAAUCAAUAUAUCUCUAUGGGGAACACUCAGUGGCACCAUGCAGAGCAUGGAGACGCUGAAUGUAGGAGCUGUACCCUGGACUAGGAACAAAUCUAGUGGUUGUACAUUAAGCUGUAGUGGUUCUGGUUACUAUA